GGGCUGAGCCUCUUUGGGUGAUGUGAAGCCAAGGCCGGUAAAAGCAGAAGAAAAGCAGGGCUCAGCUGAGGUGCCGAGGAGGUCUGAGAUAAGAUGGGGCCACAGCGGGGAGCCCAGCGCCGGUGAAGGGCGGUUGGAACACGUGCUCCUUGAAGUCGCUAGUGCCAUGCAGCCUUGGAACGUUUGCACAGAACGCACAAACGGCAAUCCCAACAGACUCUCCAAGGCCCAGCUACUCUGCGCUCCCACGGGCAAAUGUUUGGGACCAAGAGAGACCCUCGUUAACUCUCCAGUACCAGGCACAGGGCAGCAACUUGGGAGAUCAGUCCCUACCGUCUUCCUGCCCUUUCCUGGGAACACUGCCAAUCACAGCCUGCUCCAGGCUGGGGCGUGGAAGUGGACCUCCUGGGAGUAUGGAAUGAGAAAGCUUGUAGGGCGGCCUAUUUCCCUGUGGGUCACCAAGAUCGGCUGAGACAGGGUGUGUGCUGAGGUGUCUGGGCACACUACCACCGACCUUUUCCUUUCCAGUAAUUUACUCCGGGUACCUGGACUGUGAUCUUUUAAAUCAUGGUUUGGGGAACUCUGUUCUCCAGCAACCUCUGAGCGACCCCCCCCCCCAUCAGAAUUGCCAGGUGCCCUUCUGCAAAAGCCAGACAGUAGUCCCAGCCUGUCUGCAAAGCUCCCACUGUGUGUAGAAAAUACAGUGGCUGUUACAUGCCGACUUUGUCCAGACAGUGCUAAAUUCAUUUUUUUUUUUUCUGGGUAGAUUACUUUUGGGUUUUGUAUUUGUUAGGUUUCUCUAUUGCUGUGAUGAAACACCAUGACUAAAAAUCAACUUGGGGAGGAAAGGAGUUGGGGUGGGGGAGGGGGGAGUCCAUCUUGAAGAGAAAUCAGGGCAGGAACUGAAGCAGAGGCCAUGGAAAUGAGUGCUGGUGACUGGCUUUCUCCUUAAGGCUUUGCUACAACCCAAAACCAUCUGGCCAGGGGUGACGCCACCUCCUCACACAGUGGACUGGACCUUUCUCAUCAAGCAAGCAAGCAAGUGCCCGCUCAGACUUGCCUACCAGCCAAUCUGAUGGAGGCAUUUUCUCAAGCGGCUGUGGGACCUUGGGGCCAGGCCGGGCAAAACCGGAGAAACCUUCCGGCUACAGUUGUGGAACCUGUUUUAAGAGAUACAAUAUGACCAGCCACCUCAGGCUCCGGCUGCCAUGCUGUGGUCGCUAAUCUUGGUUGUCAACUUGACACACCCAGGAAGAGAGAACCUCAAUUGUACUGCUUCCGUCAAACCUGGCCUGUAGUCGCUAAUUGAUGGAGGAGGGCCCAGUCCACUGUGGGUGGCGGCAUCCCCACACAAAUGGUCCUGGGCUAGAAGAGAGGUAGCUGGAUGUGAGCCUCAGAGCAUGCAGGUCAAUAAGCAGCAUUCCUCCUCUGUGUUUUGUUGUUGUUGUUGUUGUUGUUUGUUUGUUUGUUUGUUUGUUUGUUUUUGCUUCAAGCUCCUACCUUGAGGUCCUGCCUUGGCUUCCCUAGAC